UAAUGUGCUAAUUGUCUAACAGCAGAGAAGCCAGCCCAAGCUGAUUAGCAGUCUGGCUUAGUGACUGUGUAGCUCAACUCCAUUUCUCCUGAAUGAUAUUUCAGCUGUUCAAGGAAAGAAAGGCGCAGGCUGGAGGGAUUAUAUGCCCUUAGUAUCAAGGGUAACAUAAGCUUAGGGGCACUUUGUAGCCGAGCACGAUCAUGAGCUCCUGGAGGGCAGACACUGCUGUUUAUUCAUCUCUGGCCACCACGGACUGCGUGCAGGCCCUGCACAUCCCUCCCUGAUCGCAGUCCCAGGACACGGGAGUAGAACAUUCACUGACACAUCGGGUUGUCUGCCAAACACUAGCAGCGAGGGGACCCUGGCUGCGGGGAGAGAGAACCCCGACAAUCGCUGCAGCCAGAUCAAGCAAGUGACACAGCGUUUGAAAGUCCCCGCGCCGCCCUGGGCAGCGAGUGGGAAUGAAAAGCCAUUCAAGCAAUGCUGGCACAAAUCAGUACAAGGUGUUCGCGACACAUGGACUCUCGCCCCAUCCCCAGGCCAGUAGAAGGUGG